rnacentral:rRNA from 1 species
GAUGAACGCUGGCGGCGUGCCUAAUACAUGCAAGUCGAGCGAACAGACGAGGAGCUUGCUCCUCUGACGUUAGCGGCGGACGGGUGAGUAACACGUGGAUAACCUACCUAUAAGACUGGGAUAACUUCGUGAAACCGGAGCUAAUACCGGAUAAUAUAUUGAACCGCAUGGUUCAAUAGUGAAAGACGGUUUUGCUGUCACUUAUAGAUGGAUCCGCGCCGCAUUAGCUAGUUGGUAAGGUAACGGCUUACCAAGGCAACGAUGCGUAGCCGACCUGAGAGGGUGAUCGGCCACACUGGAACUGAGACACGGUCCAGACUCCUACGGGAGGCAGCAGUAGGGAAUCUUCCGCAAUGGGCGAAAGAAUGACGGAGAAACGACGCGUGAGUGAUGAAGGUAUUCGGAUCGUAAAACUCUGUUAUUAGGGAAGAACAAAUGUGUAAGUAACUAUGCACGUAUUGACGGUACCUAAUCAGAAAGCCACGGCUAACUACGUG